rnacentral:rRNA from 1 species
GACGAACGCUGGCGGCGUGCUUAACACAUGCAAGUCGAACGAUGAAGAAAAGAAUUGAAGCUUCGGCAGAAAUUCAUUUCGGAUUAGUGGCAGACGGGUGAGUAACGCGUGAGCAACCUACCUCUUACAAAGGGAUAGCCUCGGGAAACCGGGAUUAAUACCAUAUAACAUUGCGACGAAGCAUUUCGAUGCAAUCAAAGCUACGGCGGUAAGAGAUGGGCUCGCGUCCCAUUAACCAGAUGGUGAGGUAACGGCUCACCAUAGUAACGAUGGGUAACCGGCCUGAGAGGGUGAACGGUCACACUGGAACUGAGACACGGUCCAGACUCCUACGGGAGGCAGCAGUGGGGAAUAUUGCACAAUGGAGGGAACUCUGAUGCAGCGACGCCGCGUGAGUGAUGAAGGAAUUCGUUUCGUAAAACUCUGUUCUAUGGGAAGAAAAGGACUGUACCAUAGGAGAAAGCUCCGGCUAAAAACGUG